rnacentral:sRNA from 1 species
UAUUUAGGUUCCCUAGGUCGCGUGGGGCGGAAUUGCGGUACUUUCCGUAAGGAACCCCCCGAGGCUCGGAAGCGCUCCAUACUUUUGGAGGGCUUUUUAGGG